UGGACCAAUGAUGAUGGCUGGUGGUGUAUGAGUUAAAGGUGAUGAAUAGUAAGUGUCUUUGUUAGUGGCAAGUUCAGA
ensembl:snoRNA